AUUGAACGCUGGCGGCAGGCCUAACACAUGCAAGUCGAACGAGUGGCGGACGGGUGAGUAAUGUUUGGGACUCUACCUUAUGGAGGGGGAUACCUACGGGAAACGGUCGCUAAUACCGCGUAGCAUAGGAGGAGCCCAAGUGGGAUUAGGUAGUUGGUGAGGUAAAGGCUCACCAAGCCGACGAUCUCUAGCUGGUCUGAGAGGAUGACCAGCGACACUGGGACUGAGACACGGCCCAGACUCCUACGGGAGGCAGCAGUGGGGAAUAUUGCACAAUGGGGGCAACCUGACGCAGCAAUGCCGCGUGAAUGAAGAAGGCCGUCGGGUUGUAAAGUUCUUUCAGUAGCGAGGCGUUAACGACAGAAGAAGCACCGGCUAACUCCGUGCCAGCCGCCGCGGUAAUAC
rnacentral:rRNA from 1 species